CAGUAGCCGCGGUAAUACAGAGGGUGCAAGCGUUAAUCGGAAUUACUGGGCGUAAAGCGCGCGUAGGUGGUUUGUUAAGUUGGAUGUGAAAGCCCCGGGCUCAACCUGGGAACUGCAUCCAAAACUGGCAAGCUAGAGUACGGUAGAGGGUGGUGGAAUUUCCUGUGUAGCGGUGAAAUGCGUAGAUAUAGGAAGGAACACCAGUGGCGAAGGCGACCACCUGGACUGAUACUGACACUGAGGUGCGAAAGCGUGGGGAGCAAACAGGAUUAGAGACCCGAGUAGUCCCUGUCUCUUAUAC
rnacentral:rRNA from 1 species